rnacentral:lncRNA from 1 species
CUUUGUCAUGGCAGCUGAGCAAACACUUAAGAGUCCCCCGAGCGGCACUGAAAUGGGGAAGCCGGACUAUGUAAGCCCCAUGGCUCAUCUUCACCACUGAUACUGUAAACCUUAGCUUGCUAUGGAGAGCGCUCCUUGUUGAAGUCUCCCUCCGCCUUGUUUCUACUUAUUGACAGACUCUGAAGUGAUUGCUUUCGGACUCCUUCACAGUUUCCUGGCUGCCUCGUUAUUUUUCAGUUUGAAAAUUGAAGCGGACCAAGUCAAACUCAGUCAACCCAGUCGCCCUCCAGCCGCCAUUGAAAGGGGACGUGGACGCGCAGCUAUAACUAAAUGCUGCCACCUAGAGGACAGCGUGGGUAUACCGCCUCCUCUCCAGCUGGUAUUCUCAGGACUUCUGGAACCCAGAUUGAACUGUGCUGGGUGGAAGCUGCAACCUGUGUUCAUUAACGUCCUUGUGGUGCCAAUUUGCGCAACCAAUAUUUUUCUUUACUCUGUACUUUAAAAGGGUUUCCUCUUCUAAAUGAACUGUAG